CUCCUCUCCUCUCUCUCCCAUACCUCUCCUCCCCUCUCUUUCCCCCAUACCUCUCCUCUUUCCCCCCCAUCUCCUUCUGCCUCCUCUGCUUCAGUUAGGGGUCAAAGGUCACGGGGUCUCCUGGUGCUAGAAGUUCAGAGGUCAUGUGUUUCUAUCUAGCUCAGGCAGGUCAUGUGGAAACACACCUUAUCAAUUAGAACGGAACAGCGUGAGAACCCAAGAAUAAGCACCCACCAUGUCAUGCAACUGUAAGAUAAUGGGUAGCUUAAAGAAUAGUCAUCAACAUCAUCACCAUUAUCAACAUUAUAUCAUCAUUAUUGGAGUCAUUAACAACAUUAUUGGAGUUGUUAUCAUCAUCGUUGGAGUCACUAUUGACAUCAUAUAAUCAUUAUUGGAGUCAUUAUUGGAAUCAUUAUCAGCAUCAUAUCAUCAUUGUUGGAUACAUUAACAACAUCAUAUCACCAUUAUUGGAGCCUCGAUCACAUUAUUGAAGUCGUUAUUGGAGUCAUUAUCAACAUCAUAUAAUCGUUGUUGGAGUCAUUAUUGACAUCAUAUCAUCAUUAUUGGAGUCAUUAUCCACCUUAUAUAAUCAUUAUUGGUCAUUAUCCACAGCAUCAUCGUUAUUGGAGGCACUAUUGGAAUCAUUAGCCACAUUAUCAUCAAUAUUGGCGUCAUUAUCUACAUUAUAUCAUCAUCACUAUUUGAGUCAAUAUUGACAUUAUAUAAUCAUUAUUGGAGUUGCUAUCAACAUAUCAUCAUUAAUGGAGACAUUAUUGAAGUCAUUAUCAACAUUAUAUCAUCAUUAUAGGAGUCAUUACCCACAUUAUAUCAUCAGUAUUGGAGUCAUUAUCCACAUUAUAUCAUCAGUAUUGGAGUCAUUACCCACAUUAUAUCAUCAGUAUUGGAGUCAUCAUCCACCUUAUAACAUAUUAUUGGAGUCAUCACAUUAUAUCAUCAGUAUUGGAGUCAUUAUCCACAUUAUAUCAUCAUCAUUAUUGGAGUCAUUAUCCAUAUUAUAUCAUCAGUAUUGGAGUCAUUAUCCACAUUAUAUCAUCAGUAUUGGAGUCAUCAUCCACCUUAUAACAUAUUAUUGGAGUCAUUAUCCACAUUAUAACAUAUUAUUGGAGUCGUUAUCCAUAUUAUAUCAUCAGUAUUGGAGUCAUUAUCCACAUUAUAUCAUCAUUAUUGGAGCCAUUAUCCACAUUACAUCAUUAUUAUUGGAGUCAUUGUCAUCAUAUCAUCAUUAUUAGAGUCAUUAUCCACAUUAUAUUAUCAUCACAAUUAUUGUCAUUAUCCACAUUAUUGGAGUCAUUAUCAACAUUCUAACAUCAGUAUUGGAGUCAUUAUCCACAUUAUACCAACAUCAUCAUUAUUGGAGUCAUUAUCAACAUUAAAUCAUCAUUAUUGGAGUCAUUAUCCACAUUACAUCACCAUUAUUGGAGUCAACGACUAUGACUCCAAUAACAAUGACUCCAAUAAUGGUGAUGUAAUGUGGAUAAUGAUGAUUUAAUGUUGAUAAUGACUCCAAUAAUGAUGAUGUUGGUAUAAUGUGGAUAAUGACUCCAAUACUGAUGUUAACAUGUUGAUAAUGACUCCAAUAAUGUGGAUAAUGACAUAUCAUCAUAUCAACUGAUGAACUGAUGAAGAUGAUUUUAUUUGCCAUAAUUUCAUUUCCAUAGUGAAUGCUUUCACGAGCAAUUAUUAUACAUUUCCCCCAAAAAAUGUAAGUACGGUAUUUCAUGGUAUAAAAAACAGGUUAAAAGUCUGCAAAAAAUAUUUACAAGAUGAACAAUGUCUACAAUAAAUUCUGUAUAUUAGUUUAAUUGAAUAGAAAGUAUGUCUUUACGCAGUUGUGUAUAAAAACCAAACCAUUAAUUUAGUUUUAGUAGUAAAAAUCCUCGAUACAUGUUUUCCUUUUCAAUUUUAGCAAUUUAAUGUAACAAACACAUUUAAAUAACCGAACCAUUUAAAAAUGGUUAACCCACUUUCACUGCAGACUGAUGCAGCUGUGGGUUUAGAACACAAAGAGGAAUGUUCUCUAUCCAAGGUCCCUUCUCCUCUCCUCCUUUCAAGGAAUGACAGAUGAAGAGGUAGACAUCCUAAGAGCAGGGGUUCCCUUCAUUAGUCCUUUAUCCAUAGAGGAACCCUAACCCUACAGCUACAGAUGAAUCCUAACCCUACAGCUACAGAGGAAUCCUGACCCUACAGCUACAGAGGAAUCCUGACCCUACAGCUACAGAGGAAUCCUGACCCUACAGCUACAGAGGAAUCCUGACCCUACAGCUACAGAGGAAUCCUGACCCUACAGCUACAGAGGAAUCCUGAUCCUACAGCUACAGAGGAAUCCUGACCCUA
ensembl:lncRNA